UAAGCGUGCGCAGGCGGUUAUGUAAGACAGAUGUGAAAUCCCCGGGCUCAACCUGGGAACUGCAUUAGUGACUGCAUAGCUGGAGUACGGCAGAGGGGGAUGGAAUUCCGCGUGUAGCAGUGAAAUGCGUAGAUAUGCGGAGGAACACCGAUGGCGAAGGCAAUCCCCUGGGCCUGUACUGACGCUCAUGCACGAAAGCGUGGGGAGCAAACAGGAUUAGAUACCCGAGU
rnacentral:rRNA from 1 species